rnacentral:tRNA from 1 species
ACCGGUUUAGUUCAGCAGGCAGAACGUCUGAUUGCAAAAUCAGAAGGGCGAUGGUUCAACUUCGCUAGCUGAUACCA